rnacentral:rRNA from 1 species
GGGGUUNCCCAUUGAUCAGAAUCGGCUCNGAAGGGUUCCUGCGCUAAAGCUAAUCUGCGCAGGGUUAGUCGGCCCCUAAGGCGAGGGCGAAAGCCGUAGUCGAUGGGAAUGAGGUUAAUAUUCCUCAACCUGCUAGAAGUGACGAAUAGGGUAAAUUGUGAGUUCUUAUUGGAUUGAACUUGCCGUGAACCUGUUCCAGGAAAUAGCUCUAGCGUAUAGACCGUACCCCAAACCGACACAGGUGGACUGGUAGAGUAUACCGAGGCGUUUGAGAGAACUAUGUUGAAGGAACUCGGCAAAAUGACCCCGUAACUUCGGGAGAAGGGGUACCCUCUUUAAGGCAACUUAAGGGGGGUGGCACAGAAUUGGGGGUGGCGACUGUUUAUUAAAAACAUAGGACUCUGCGAAGUCGCAAGACGACGUAUAGGGUCUGACGCCUGCCCGGUGCUGGAAGGUUAAGAGGAGCGGUGAGAGCUGCGAAUUGAAGCCCCAGUAAACGGCGGCCGUAACUAUAACGGUCCUAAGGUAGCGAAAUUCCUUGUCGGGUAAGUUCCGACCUGCACGAAUGGCGUAACGACUUCCCCGCUGUCUCCAACAUAGACUCAGCGAAAUUGAAUUCUCCGUGAAGAUGCGGAGUACCCGCGGUCAGACGGAAAGACCCCGUGCACCUUUACUACAGCUUUGCAGUGGUAUCAGGAUUUAAAUGUGUAGGAUAGGUGGGAGCCUUUGAAGCAGUAACGCUAGUUAUUGUGGAGGCAUCCUUGAAAUACCACCCUUUUGACUUUUGGUAUCUAACCGCGGACCGUUAUCCGGUUCCGGGACCCUGCAUGGUGGGUAGUUUGACUGGGGCGGUCGCCUCCCAAAUGAUAACGGAGGCGCGCGAAGGUAGGCUCAAGCUGGUCGGAAAUCAGCUGUCGAGUGCCAUGGCAUAAGCCUGCCUGACUGCCAAACUGACCAUUCAGCAAAGACCAAAGUCGGUCAUAGUGAAUCCGGUGUCCCCGCGGGAAGGGCCCUCCCUCAACGAAUAAAAGGUACCCCGGGAAAAACGGGCUGAUAAUGCCCAAAAAUCCAUUUCACCGGGCUUGUUUUGCCACCUCCAAAUUCCGCCCCUUUCAUCCCUGGGGCUGGACCAA